rnacentral:rRNA from 1 species
UACGGAGGGGGCUAGCGUUGUUCGGAAUUACUGGGCGUAAAGCGCACGUAGGCGGCUUUGUAAGUUAGAGGUGAAAGCCCGGGGCUCAACUCCGGAAUUGCCUUUAAGACUGCAUCGCUAGAAUUGUGGAGAGGUAAGUGGAAUUCCGAGUGUAGAGGUGAAAUUCGUAGAUAUCAGGAGGAACACCAAAUGGCGAAGGCAGCUCGCUGGGACGGUACUGACGCUGAGACGUCGAAA